rnacentral:siRNA from 1 species
GAAGAGGUGUGUUGAAUACUGC